GACGUAGGGGGCCAGCGUUGUUCGGAAUUACUGGGCGUAAAGGGCUCGUAGGCGGCCAACUAAGUCAUGCGUGAAAUCCCUCGGCUUAACCGGGGAACUGCGUCUGAUACUGGAUGGCUUGAGUGUGGGAGAGGGAUGCGGAAUUCCAGGUGUAGCGGUGAAAUGCGUAGAUAUCUGGAGGAACACCGGUGGCGAAGGCGGCAUCCUGGACCAACACUGACACUGAGGAGCGAAAGCCAGGGGAGCAAACGGG
rnacentral:rRNA from 1 species